CGGUAUUUCAAAGAGGUUGAGCACGAGACUAGUGAUCCCGUGGCCGCGGGUUCAAGCCCCGUCCAUAAUGA
rnacentral:tRNA from 1 species